rnacentral:rRNA from 1 species
ACCCCGUGGAGGACCGAACCACGUUGCUGUUGAAAAAGCAUGGGAUGAGCUGUGGAUAGCGGAGAAAUUCCAAUCGAACCCGGAGAUAGCUGGUUCUCUCCGAAAUAGCUUUAGGGCUAGCGUCGAGUAUGAGUAGUGGAGGUAGAGCACUGAAUGGGCUAGGGGGCAUAGCGCUUACCGAACCUUAUCAAACUCCGAAUGCCACAUACUUUGAGCUCGGCAGUCAGACUACGAAUGAUAAGAUCCGUGGUCAAAAGGGAAACAGCCCAGAUCGUCAGCUAAGGUCCCAAAGUGUAAGUUAAGUGGGAAAGGAUGUGAGAUUUCUAAGACAACUAGGAUGUUGGCUUAGAAGCAGCCACUCAUUAAAAGAGUGCGUAAUAGCUCACUAGUCGAGAGAUCUUGCGCCGAAAAUGUAACGGGGCUAAACUUACCACCGAAGCUACGGGCUUGAACAUAGUUCAAGCGGUAGGAGAGCGUCGUAACCGGGCUGAAGUCGUACCGUAAGGAGCGGUGGACUGGUUACGAGUGAGAAUGUUGGCAUCAGUAGCGAGAUGUGGGUGAGAAUCCCACAGGCCGAAAACCUAAGGUUUCCUCAGGAAGGUUCGUCCGCUGAGGGUUAGUCGGGACCUAAGCCGAGGCCGAAAGGCGUAGGUGAUGGACAACUGGUUGAUAUUCCAGUACCACUACCAUCGUUAUUAUCGAUGGCGUGACGCAGGAGGAUAGUGUGUGCUAGCUAUUGGAUGCUAGUCUAAGCGUUUAGGCAGUGAGAGUAGGCAAAUCCGCUCUCAUAAUGCUGAGGCGUGAUGGGGAAGGUUCUACGGAACCGAAGUACAUGAUUCCACGCUGCCAAGAAAAGCGUCUAGAGAGAGAAGUAGUGCCCGUACCGCAAACCGACACAGGUAGGUGAGGAGAGAAUCCUAAGGCCGGCGGAAGAAUUACAGUUAAGGAACUCGGCAAAUUGACCCCGUAAGUUCGCGAGAAGGGGUGCCUACGAGAGUAGGCCGCAGAGAAUAGGCCCAAGCAACUGUUUAGCAAAAACACAGGUCUCUGCUAAAGCGAAAGCUGAUGUAUAGGGGCUGACGCCUGCCCGGUGCUGG